rnacentral:rRNA from 1 species
AACGAACGCUGGCGGCAUGCCUAACACAUGCAAGUCGAACGAGACCUUCGGGUCUAGUGGCGCACGGGUGCGUAACGCGUGGGAACCUGCCCUUAGGUUCGGAAUAACUCCCCGAAAGGGGUGCUAAAACCGGAUAAUGUCCUCGGACCAAAGAUUUAUCGCCUUUGGAUGGGCCCGCGUGGGAUUAGCUAGUUGGUAGGGUAAAAGCCUACCAAGGCGACGAUCCAUAGCUGGUUUGAGAGGAUGAUCAGCCACACUGGGACUGAGACACGGCCCAGACUCCUACGGGAGGCAGCAGUGGGGAAUAUUGGACAAUGGGGGAAGGCCUGAUGCAGCAAUGCCGCGUGAGUGAUGAAGGCCUUAGGGUUGUAAAGCUCUUUUACCCGGGAUGAUAAUGACAGUACCGGGAGAAUAAGCUCCGGCUAACUCCGUG